AUGGCGCCCCUGAAAAAACUCGUCCAUAUCUCACUUCUCCUGCUAGUAUGCACAGCCAAGGCGGCCAACCCAGAAGCAGAAGCACUUCUCUGGUGGAAGUCGACUUUGGUUGGCGCUAACUCGCUGUCCUCAUGGUCGACUGCGAAUUCCACCUGCUCUUGGUUUGGCGUCUCCUGUGACACUGCCGGGCAUGUUAUGGAACUCAGCCUUCCCAACGCUGGACUCAACGGUACGCUCGAUUACUUGUAUUCGCCGGCGUUCUUGAACCUCACCAAGAUCAAACUCAACAACAACAAUCUUGUUGGCGCCAUCCCAGCAAACAUAUCCAAGUUGCUAACGCUCACUUAUCUGGACUUGAGCAGCAACAAUCUUGCUGGUGCCAUCCCCUACCAACUCAGCAACCUACCAAUGCUUGUCAAGUUUAAUCUGGCAAAUAACCACUUGACUAACCUGGAAUACAGCAAGUUCUCACCUAUGUCCAGUUUGAACAUGUUGUCUCUAGCUAAUAAUGAUCUCAGUGGUACCUUCCCACCAUUCAUCCUCAACUGCACCAAUUUGAGGAUGAAAUCCCUCGAUCUAUCGGGUAACGCCUUCUCAGGUCCAUUACCAGAUUCACUGCCGGAGAUGGCCCCACGGUUGAGAAAUAAUCUGACAGGAGGAAUCCCACCCGAGCUGGGGAUGAUAUCUGGGUUGCGAAACCUUUCACUGGGCAGGAACCCACUUGGUGGUUCGAUCCCAACCUCACUGGGGCAGCUUCAGUUGCUACAGGUGCUCAAAAUCAGAAACACUAGUUUGGUUUCUACUCUUCCACCUGAGCUGGGGAACCUUACUAGUCUUAAGCAUCUCGAGCUGCAGGAGAAUCAGUUACAUGGAAGUAUGCCACCAUGUUUUGCCAGGAUAAAAACAUUGAUGAUUUUUUCAUUGGCUGGAAAUAAUAUUAAUGGUACCAUCCCGACAGAGAUGUUCACAAACUGGACCAAGCUCGAGUAUUUUGAUGUAUCCAGAAACUUGUUUACUGGAAGAAGCCCAUCGCAUAUCAGCAAGUGCAAGAAGCUCAAAGUUUUUGGUGUAUCCAGAAACUUGUUAACUGGAAGCAUCCCAUCGCAUAUCAGCAAGUGCAAGGAGCUCAUCUAUUUUGAUGGGAGCAUGCGAAACUUGCAAGCAUUGUUUUUGUCCAAAAAUCGCCUUACUGGAAAUAUGCCAUCAGAUAUUGGUAACGCAACAUCUUUGAAAUUCCUUGGCGUUAGCUCCAACCAACUAAAGGGUGAGCUUCCUAAAACUAUCUCCUUGCUCAUAAAUCUUGUUGCUCUCGACUUGUCUGGCAACAAGUUUACAGGUAUCAUUCCUCAUUGUGACAGCAGGCAGUUGCCAGUUAAGGUUGCCAAUAGUACAGACAAUAGCAACUUCUCGGGAGAAUCAAGGUCUGUGUUUUGUGGGUUAACGCUUCUGAUGCUCUUGGAUCUAUCAAACAAUGAGCUGUUUGGAGAUUUUCCUGCUUGCUUGUGGAAUUUGAAAGAUUUACAAACCUUGGAUUUGUCAGGCAAUGCUUUUGCUGGGGAAGUUCCAACCUCAACUUUCAACAACUCUUCACUAAGGUCACUGCACUUGUCAGGCAACAACUUCACAGGUUGCUUUCCAGCGGUGUUGAAGAACUUAAAAAGCCUAGUUGUUUUGGAUCUCGGGAACAAUAAAAUUUCUGGUGUAAUUCCUCUGUGGAUAGGGGAAAUCAAUCUUUCUUUGAGGAUUCUCAGCCUGCGAACAAACAUGUUCUUCGGAAGUAUUCCCUGGCAGCUGUCACAACUCCCUCAUCUCCAACUGCUUGAUCUUGCUGAAAAUAAUUUUAUAGGUUCCAUACCAGAAAGUUUCAACAACUUGUCCUUGAUGAAACAGACAUUUGUGAUGCAACCGUUUGUAACAAUUGACAUACCUCAGUGGUAUUUUUACAAUGGAAGCAUGGCCAUAAUUUGGAAGGGACGGGAGUACACUUUUGAGGGAAGAUAUGCAUUUCUGACAGGUAUUGAUCUCUCUGGUAAUUCUCUAUCUGGUGAGAUCCCUUCAGAGCUGACAAGUCUCAGAGGCAUGCGGUUACUAAAUAUUUCUCGAAAUAAUGUGUCUGGUAGUAUCCCCAAGGAUAUUGGCAAUCUAAAUUUAUUAGAAUCCCUUGACCUCUCUUGGAACAAACUAUCAGGCCAUAUUCCUCCUAGUGUCUCAAACCUGAUGUCCCUCACCACUUUCAAUCUCUCCAACAACCUUCUGUCAGGAGAGAUACCUACAGGCAGUCAGCUCCAAACACUCGAUGACCCAUCGAUCUACGACAAUAAUCUGGGACUCUGUGGUCCCCCCUUAAGAUCAUGCACAAAUAAUUCGAGUGGUACACCACCGAUGGAUGGGGCAAAGGAAUAUCACCAUGAACUGGAAACACUCUGGCUGUACUACUCGGUGAUUGCUGGAAUUGUAUUUGGUUUCUGGGUAUGGUUUGGAGCAUUGUUUUUGUGCAAGAUCUGGCGGGUUGCUUUCUUCAGUUGUAUCGAUGCCAUGCAGCAGAAUAUUGUGCACAAGAUGAAGUGUACCUGA
rnacentral:rRNA from 1 species